GUAUAGACUCCAACAAAGAUGUGAAUUCCGGGCCUCUUGCACGGCACUCUCUUUUUUCAACUUGGCAAUAUAGCCAACAGAGAUUGUAACGUAGUUACAGAAGGUCGACAAAAAUAUAAUUUUAAUCCAAACCUAAUCGCCAAGUAAGAUAUUUUUCAAUUUCAAAAUAUGGGACCAGCGAGGGUUAUCGAUUACCUUUUAGUAACACGAGAGUCCCUGGUGGUGGGAUUUAGAACCACCAAUUUAAACCUAUCAUGCAGCAAGCUUACUGGGAGGAUCUCAUCACUAAAACUAAUGACGAUUAGCCUCAUCAGUUCAUACGGGAACUGAAAUGUUGUUUUUCUCAAAAGUACAAAAGAAGACUAUUGAAAAGAGGGCGUCGCGUGGGUCUAGCAUGGUUGAGUCAUCCGAUGAUCUAGUAUUCUCAAAUCGAUCGGUGAGCCAGUUAGAAGUGUCUAAGCAAAUUAGAGAAAAUCAAGUGUAAUAUAGCAGUAGUGAUUGAAGGUCGAUCGAAAAGUUUGUGUAAGCCCAGAUUGUGACUAUUAAGAGAAAAUUCUUUAAAUCUAAAUUGUAAUUUCAGUUUGAGAAACGUAAGGUGGAAUUUAAGAAAGCAAAAGUUGGCCCGGUAGCAAAAAGUUUUAAUCAGACAUUGUGAGUGACCUAGGACUGAAAAGUGUACAAGUACAUAAUUGUUCAAUCUGUUUCCUAUUUUUAACAAUUCUCGCAGAAGAAACCUGGAAUUAAAUGGUCUGAAAGAAAAAAAAACUAAGAAAAGUGUAGUGCGGAAUACUGCACGUGUAAUACCUCCCUCGAGGCUCAGGACACUACUAUCCUUCAAGCGAAGGUGCUAGUGUAGGGUGUAGGGGAUAGCGACCAGCCACGCUGUCUCUAGGGACGAGUCAGAAGCUCGGCGACUUGUAGGCUCGCCUCGUCGUCCGCGCCAGUAUUCGACCCUCGCGCACCCUGGGCCGAAGGAAUCCACGCCUUCCGGAGGAAUUCGGACGCUACUAACCGAAUAUCGCUCCAUCGGUCUCGAAGGGAGAUUCACACCACGUGAGCGCAUUGGCACCGCCCAUCACCACCCC